AAGCUCUGUACAGAGCUCUGAUGGCCUGACGCUUUGUCUGGACUCGAUGUGUGCGCACGGAUCUCGCGCCCUGAGUGGCCCAAGCGGCUGUAUAUUUUAAUAGUUAAGACCUACCUGUGACUCCUUUGACAGAAUCAGGUAUACAAUGUCACAUGUUUAUAUACAUAUAUGUUGUGAACCAAGCUGCUCCUCCUAACCGCGGUCAAUGUAUCAGUGAUUUUUUUUUGGCCAGUGAGGAAGGUACAUUUAACAAAAUUCAGUAAGUAAAAGCCGUCAUAUUUUAAAGUUAAAUUUCGAUUUUAUCAUUAAAAUAGUGUGAUGUUACAUGUAUUUAAAUGUUUAUGCUGAUUGUAAAAAAAAAAUCAUGAAAUUUGUUUUUCCAAAAUUUAAAAGCCUAAACUAUUUUAUAGAAUUAACCAGCAUGUUAACAGUUAGACUGGUUGAAAGUAUAAAGAGGGAUACAUAAAUUAUUGACAUUAAAUCAAGUUAAGCUGUUUAAUUUUAAUCUCUGAAAACCCACUUUAAACCUCAGGAGGUAUUAGUGUUCAUCUUUUUGCUAUCCUUUUAAAAACACAUUUUCUUGUCACAAAUAUAAAAAAAUGAAAUAAUAAAAUAACAAUAAUAACCCCCCCCCCUAAAAAACCCCCAAAUUUUGUAAUAAAUCACCCUUUUUUUUCAAAAGGGAAUAUAUAAAAUCUUAAAUUUUAGAUAAUACAUUUCAAACAUGAUAAAAAAUGGAGCAUCAAAGAUUGCCUUUUUAUUUUUAGAUUUAAUGCAAUAAAAUAAUAAGACGAUAUGUAUAAACAGUAGAACCACAUGACACAAGAUAGUCUACUCGAGUCAUCAAAUCUUACAUAAAACAAGAAUUAGUCCGACAUUAGUUCUCGAACUUAUCCCCCGGAUCGCCUUUCUUUCAUCACAGAAGAGUCUGACAUGCAAUGAAUACUCCAAGUUUAUCCUCUUACUUUUUUUCAGAAAGGUAUUAAUAAUAGUUAAACACCCCUGGGUCCUAAUCGCAUCGACUCAAAUCAAAAUUCUAUAACCGCCAUUGCUUGUUACGGAGUGCAUCCACAUUCCCAAGCAACAUGCAGAGAGCUAGGAUUUCGCUUUUUAAAAGUCUUAAUCAAUCCCCAAAAGAAGGAAACGGACGAAAACUUCAACGGGGAGUCUUUAUCUAUAACAAGCUUUGAUUUUACUAAGAGGACCCUUUAACAACUCAGAUUGCGGUACGGUAGAGUAACGGUAUUAUUCUGAAGUAGCAAGAUUACAAGUUGUUUCCAAGGAAUGAUGGUUGUUUCCCCGUUUACAACGCCUUCUUGUCUUUGACAUGAAAAUAUUUGCUUCCCUAAUCAACGGGUCAUUCAAGAGACAGUUUUUUUUUAUCAACUUGCGUUUCAAAAUACACUGUAUACUAUAUUUUCUAUAGCUCAUUGGCUUUUUCACAUGCCCACCCAGAUACAUGAAGAACUUGUACUAUUCAUAAAAUUCUAAGGACAUUACGACGAACAAACGCUUAUUUAAAUUAAACAGAAAUUUCAUCUCAUUUUCUAACGAAUUUAAGAAGUGCUAAAUCUAGAGUCGUAAAAUUAUUUUUGGGUACAUCAAUUAAAACAAAAUUUCAAAACCAUUCAUAAAAAAAACCGCAAAAAAAUAUUUAAACAAAAUCUAAGUACGACAUCAGAGAAUUCCCAAGGCCAAUGACUCAACUGCGUGAUAUUUUGUUUUGAAGAGGAAACUUUCGAAUUCUUCAAAAACAGAUAAGAAGCCCUAAACUACACAAGAAUUUGUCCUUCAAAGAAACAACAAUACAGAAUAGUUUCAAUUAUAGUUUUUCUUUUUUUAUCAUAAAAAAAUGCUUAAAACUUUUAAACAAAUGAAGACAUUGUACAACUUUCUUAAAUAUUUGGUCCACAAUUUUUUUCUCGGACUUUAACAUUUUUUUUUUAAAUAAAAAAAGGCUAACUUUGGUUCUCUUUUAAAAUUGUCAACUCCUUUUAAGAAAAAGGCGCUUGCAUCUAAUGCAAAUUGUUUCGCAAGAUGUUAUCACAAAGGGGGGAAAUGUUAUUGUUACAAUUUUCUCGAGUAAGUGUCGAAUUUUUGGCUGAUUAUUAGGGUUAAUGUCUCCCGGUGUAAGUGUACAGCGACCUGUGUAUAUGGGGUUUGUGUACCAGCGGUGCCACCCGGUGAAAGUUUGAUUAGAAUUAUAACCCUUUGUGUCAAUGUUUGGUAAGGCUAAUUUGGUAGAUAUAUAGACAAUAGCGUGCGCUCGUAAAACAUAAUAGUUCAGAGAAUCUGACAGUCAUGCUUUUCAUCUAAACUUGACAAAGAUCGAGAAAUGAUUGACACUGGGAGAUCCUCUGUGUGUUUCUACUUCAUUUUAUUCUUUAUUUUGUUUUCUGUCUCUCGAUCAAUCGGCCAAACUUCUACGAUCUAUCCCUAAUUACUUUUAGAAGAAUGUUGUCAUUUUGACACCAUUUAAAUCUUACAUGUCAAUCUCGUCCGAUAGAAUGGACUUAUUUUUAACAAUUCUUUAAAAUAAGGCUCUUUUUUUCUCUUCCGCAUAUCUAGUAUACUGUUUCCAACUCUGUUUUGAAAAAUCUGAUUUCAUUGUUGCAAAUUGUUUAUCGUUAAUCAGCUAGAUUCUAUUAAACCUGGUCAAAUACAGCGCAUGUAUACACAAAGUAUUUGUAAACAUUGCAAUUAAUUGUCCGAACAAAUUUGCUAAACAAAGAUUCCUCUGUUGACAGUUUAGUUAAGGAUGGUUAAAGUCAUUAAGAAAAGGUUUCUAUGCUAGAUUUCUGGGUGAUUAAGCUCUUUCGUGCUGGGAGAUAGAUAAAUGACAUAAAAGACGCAGGGCCUCUUUUUGUAAAGCAUGUUACUGUUAUUUGGAAUUUAAACCCCCCUCUGGAACC
rnacentral:sRNA from 1 species